GCUGGGUGUGGUGAUGCAUACCUGUAAUCUCAGCUACUUGGGAGGCUGAGGCGGGAGGAUUACAAGUUUGAGGCCAGCCUAGGCAACUAGAUCAGGCAAUUUAGGGAGACCAUGUCUCAG
rnacentral:sRNA from 1 species